GGUGCUAAUACCGGAUAAGAAAGCAGAUCGCAUGAUCAGCUUUUAAAAGGCGGCGUAAGCUGUCGCUAUGGGAUGGCCCCGCGGUGCAUUAGCUAGUUGGUAAGGUAAAGGCUUACCAAGGCAAUGAUGCAUAGCCGAGUUGAGAGACUGAUCGGCCACAUUGGGACUGAGACACGGCCCAAACUCCUACGGGAGGCAGCAGAC
rnacentral:rRNA from 1 species